UUUGCACAGUGACAGACUGAAUUAUAAAACACUGAAAUAGUUUAAAACAUUGAGAGCAGAAAGAGGAGGAAUUCAUAACUUUUCAUCUCAUAUCUUGUCAUUUUGGAUUCAGAAAAAAACAAGAUGGGUGUUGGAAAGAUAGUAUCUAUUCUCCUGAUUCUGAUAGUGCUGCAUACAACAGUGGAAUCAACAACAACGGCCGCACCGACAACAACAGCCGCCCUAACAACGGCCGCUGCGACAACAACGGCUGCACCGACAACAACAGCCGC